UUUAGUGGCGGACGGGUGAGUAACGCGUGAGGAACCUGCCUUACACAGGGGGAUAACACUUAGAAAUAGGUGCUAAAACCGCAUAAGCGCACAGCUUCGCAUGAAGCGGUGUGAAAAACUCCGGUGGUGUAAGAUGGACCCGCGUCUGAUUAGCUUGUUGGCGGGGUAACGGCCCACCAAGGCGACGAUCAGUAGCCGGCCUGAGAGGGCGGACGGCCACAUUGGGACUGAGACACGGCCCAGACUCCUACGGAAGGCAGCAG
rnacentral:rRNA from 1 species